AACAUUAAGAAAAUUGAAAUCAUAUCAAGCAUCUUUUCUGACCACAAUGCUAUACGACCAGAAAUCAACAACAAGAAAAAAACUGCAAAAAACACAAACACAUGGAGACUCAACAACAUGCCCAAAUAGUUAUAUAACAAAACUAUUCGCCAGCUUGCCAAUUCAGCCUAUAUACCGCCAUCUUCAGCAAACCCUAAAAAGGAACAAUAGUAAGCACAAUCAUAACACAUAAAAACGUUAGGUCAAGGUGUAGCUUAUGAGUUGGAAAGAAAUGGGCUACAUUUUCUGCAUAAGAAUAUUCACCGUACGAAAGUUUUUAUGAAACUAAAAACCAAAGGAGGAUUUAGCAGUAAAUUAAGAGUAGAGUGCUUGAUUGAAUAAGGCCAUGAAGUACGCACACACCGCCCGUCACCCUCCUCAAGCAUAUAGUAAUACAAAAUAACCUAUAUUUAAUUACAUAAUCAUGCAAGAGGAGACAAGUCGUAACAAGGUAAGCAUACUGGAAAGUGUGCUUGGAUUACCAAAGCAUAGCUUAAACUAAAGUACCUAGUUUACACCUAGAAGAUCCCACAAUAUAUGGGUGCUUUGAACUAAAGCUAGCUCAACAUACUAAAUAAAUACAAAAAUACACCAAAAUAAAAUAAAACA
rnacentral:lncRNA from 1 species